rnacentral:sRNA from 1 species
AUGACUUUAAAAUUAUGAUCCUUUAUAGCUAAUAUUUGGGAUAUAAAAACUUUUAAAUAUGUUUUCAGGCUAUUUGCGCCUAGGAGCCAUGGCUAGAGAUAAAGGAAACUUUUAUGAGGCUUCAGAUUGGUUUAAGGAAGCUCUUCAGAUUAAUCAGGAUCAUCCAGAUGCUUGGUCUUUGAUUGGCAAUCUUCAUUUGGCAAAACAAGAAUGGGGUCCUGGACAGAAGAAGUUUGAGAGGAUAUUAAAACAGCCAUCCACACAGAGUGACACCUAUUCUAUGCUAGCCCUUGGCAACGUGUGGCUCCAAACUUUACAUCAGCCCACCCGAGAUCGAGAAAAGGAAAAGCGUCAUCAAGAUCGUGCUCUGGCCAUCUACAAACAAGUACUCAGAAAUGAUGCAAAGAAUCUGUAUGCUGCCAAUGGCAUAGGAGCUGUUUUGGCCCACAAAGGAUAUUUUCGUGAAGCUCGUGAUGUAUUUGCCCAAGUAAGAGAAGCAACAGCAGAUAUUAGUGAUGUGUGGUUGAACUUAGCACACAUCUAUGUGGAGCAAAAGCAGUACAUC